GACGAACGCUGGCGGCGUGCUUAACACAUGCAAGUCGAACGGAAAGGCCCUGCUUUUGUGGGGUGCUCGAGUGGCGAACGGGUGAGUAACACGUGAGUAACCUGCCCUUGACUUUGGGAUAACUUCAGGAAACUGGGGCUAAUACCGGAUAGGAGCUCCUGCUGCAUGGUGGGGGUUGGAAAGUUUCGGCGGUUGGGGAUGGACUCGCGGCUUAUCAGCUUGUUGGUGGGGUAGUGGCUUACCAAGGCUUUGACGGGUAGCCGGCCUGGGAGGGUGACCGGCGACAUUGGGACUGAGAUACGGCCCAGACUCCUACGGGAGGCAGCAGUGGGGAAUAUUGCACAAUGGGCGGAAGCCUGAUGCAGCAACGCCGCGUGCGGGAUGACGGCCUUCGGGUGGUAAACCGCUUUCGCCUGUGACGAAGCGUGAGUGACGGUAAUGGGUAAAGAAGCACCGGCUAACUACGUG
rnacentral:rRNA from 1 species